CGGUGAACCACGGCCAGUGGGAGCUGCUAUUGGCCAAACCUGUGGACACGGCAGGUAAACAAACCGGCCCGGCAUUCCAAGGGGCUUACCCUGGCGGGUCGCAUGCCAAAGAUUGCCGAUACCUGGUGUAGCAUUAUAUUGUGGAAAUUUUCUUAAACUCCUCUUACAACAUGAUUUUCUGAAUUUUCCUUUAACCCCUUUAUUAUAACUGUGUGUUAUAAAGGGAAAAUUACAGGUAGGGACCAUAAUUCAACCUUCAGCUAGGUGCACAGAGUGUACAGAUAAAUGUUUAAUAGGAAGUAACAGGACUACUAACUGCCAACUGCUGCAUGGGUAGCAGAUAAUUGUCAGUUCUGGGUGCAAUAAAUCACCUUGUGGACAAGUAGUUGGCAGUCAAGCACAUGUGCCAUGGUAAGUGGUGUCACCUUAUUAUAUAUGGGUAGGAACCUACGAAGUUUUGUGUAGGUCUGUAAUGCUCCCCCCUGGAGACAGGGAUUGGUUUGUGUGGAUGUUUUAAAGUUGCCAGCUGUGGGUUUUUUAAUCUGUUGAGUACUGGACCCGCAGAAGCGCAUCUUUCCUCAAAUUUUCUGUGAGUAGGACUUAAGGAGUAGCGUUCCAGCCAGCAAACAUUUCAGUUUAGUUCCCUCUUGUGAAAUAGGCUGAGAUAUGCAAGACAAUAAAAAUACUUUGUACUCAUGGCACCAAGGAUCUCAAAGCACUUUAUAUACAGUUGAGCCUCCAAAUGGUUAGUUUCAUUGACUGGAGGGUAAACCUGAGGUACUGAGUGUGAAAUGACUUGCCCACAUUUAUGUAUUCUGUUAAUGAUGGAGACAGAACCAGAACUGAGAAUUCUGGGUCCCAUCCACCAUAAUCCGGUAUUCUGAUCCUCCUCACACAGCCCAGUUAAAGGGGCCUUUCAUGGGAAACUACAGGGGUACUGGAGGUAAGACUCUUCACCCUUCUCCCUUCCCAAAACAGGGGGCAGGGCUAGAAGAAUGUGCGGACUUGCUGUAGCUGAAAUAAUAGCCCCUAAGGUGUCAUAGAAGAUGCAGCCUGUUGUCUGUGGACCCAGUAGUCAUUCAGCUGGAACUGCCCACAAACCCUCUCUUCCUGCCCCACAGGCUCCUUUGGAGUGAGUAUGUCUAGGAGGCUGCGCAGUAUCUAGGAGGCUGCCAGAUUUUGCUCUCUGAUUUCACUGGUGUAACUCUGGAGUAAUACCAUUGACAGUAGAAUUCCUCUAGAUUUAUGCCUGUGUAAUACAGAGAAAACUUUGGCCCUGUGUCUCAGGAUUGGUCCUUUUGUCUCCCCAUGACCUGCUAAAUACAACAGGUAAUAACUACUAUCUCCAUUGUCAUAUUGGGCAGUCCAAACAAGUAAACUGCUGCCAGUUUAAAAAUCUAUUUGUAAUGCUUAUUAGUGGAGUGCAGUGUUAAUGAUCUGUUUUGGUUUUUUUUUAAAUAUUAACACUAAAUACUGGAAACUGACUUGAGCGUACUGAGCGGUUAAUAACUGAUAGCAGUACCUUACGGCUAACCUGUUCUCAGAUGCUGCAAAUGUAGGAUGAGUUUAAUUAACUUUAAGUAGGAAUAGAGAUGUUUCCUCUGUUAACUUACAGUGCUGUAAUUACAUACCUUCCACACAAUCUGCUGUGAUUGGCAGGGUCUACACCAAAUAAUGUUAGCAGUUAACACAGAGUUAAACUUGGUCUGUCAGCCAAACCUGCCCCUUUGUUACUGUCCACGGCAAAGAAAGGGUUUAAUUUCAGUACGUAGUAUGUAGAAAUAUUAGAUUUAAAAUCAAACACUAGGACUUUGUUACAUUAACUGUAUUUAAAUGCUUCUGUUACCUCUGCUGCACAGGGUAAGGAAUUGCCAUUCAUAAGGACUACAAAUGAAAUGGUUUAUUCUUGAUGCACACAGGUUUCUUGUUCAUUUCAAACAGGGAAAUUGUCAGGUAUUAAUUUUGCUUAUUUAUUUAAGCAAAAUUGAAUAUUUAAAUUAGAAUGGGUUCCACUGAAAUCAACGGCAACUCACCCUUUAGUAUGUAUUCUAAACCCCGAAAUAGUCUAUUUCUGAAACGAAUUAGGAUUGCUGAAUGGCAAACCACAUACUUAGCUAUGGUGUUAUUCCCAAAAACAAGCACUUAACAGCAAGGACAUUGCUAAUUAAGGCAUCAUAAAUCUUAUACUGCCCACGUAAUAAACACACACAUGUAUGCAGUAUAAAGAAAUGAAUGUUUUAUCUCAAUGCAACAAUCUUAACUAUGGCACAUGGGUGUUUUUCUGUAUGUUACUUUGUGGAGAGUUUUUUUUUAUCUUGAUUUUGCUAUUCAAAUAUUUACUUUUUAGGGGUAGUAUUAAGUGUUAAGUAUAAGUGUAAGUUUACUUAAGUUUUACUUAAGUGUUAAGUGUAAGUUUACUUAAGUGUUAAGUAGAAGUACUUUUUAGGGGAAGUAUUAAGUAUAAAUAUAGUUCCCGACAAGUUCUACUAUCAGUUGAUAAAUUACUUAUAACCACUCUUUCUUGAUGAUACUUUUAAUGUAGGCUAAUAGGAAAAGUGUGUAACAUUAUUGAUUUAUGGUAAAAUUAUGUAUGUUUAUGGACUUGUCAUUAACAUGCGUAUAUAUUCUUUCAGUGGGUUUUGUGUUUAUAUUCUGAAGUUACUGAUGAGAGAAUAGUACUAUUAUUUAUUUUGUGUCAGUUAAGAUUGUGUUGUGAUAAAAUAUGUACUUAAUGUAUGCUUGAUAAGAAUGUGUGUGUGUUAUGUGGACAGUGUAAGAUUUAGGAUCCUUCAUGAAGAAUGUCCAUGCUUUUUAAGUGUUUUGUAUUAUGAACAUUCUGUGAUAGUUUAGUAUGUAGUAGGUUAGCAACUAUAACUUGAUUUGAAAUAAAAAGUUGUUUGUUUGGAAUUUUUAAAAAA